CGGCGGUCCGACCGGCCGCUUAGGUCGCUCCCCGUGCGGGAGCGUGGAUCGAAACCGGGCGAUGUUCUCGGUGCUGAGGCCCAGAUCGCCGUC
rnacentral:tRNA from 1 species